UAGCCCAGGGAAACCUGGAUUAAUACCGGAUGAGACGGGACCCGCGAUGGCGGGACCCGGGAAAGGCGCUGCGGCGCCGCCGGGGGGAUGAGUCUGCGUCCCAUUAGCUAGACGGCGGGGUAACGGCCCACCGUGGCGACGAUGGGUAGCCGGCCUGAGAGGGUGGACGGCCACAUUGGAACUGAGACACGGUCCAGACUCCUACGGGAGGCAGCAGCUAAGAAUCUUACCGCAAUGGGCGAAAGCCUGACGGAGCGAACCGCCGCGUGAACGAAGAAGGCCGUGAGGUUGUAAAGUUCUUUUCGGGAGGGGGAACAACCGUGGCAGGGAAUGGCCGCGGGAUGACGUGAAUCCCGGAAUAAGCCCCGGCUAACUACGUGCCAGCCGCGGC
rnacentral:rRNA from 1 species